rnacentral:rRNA from 1 species
AUUGAACGCUGGCGGCAGGCCUAACACAUGCAAGUCGAACGGUAACAUUUCUAGCUUGCUAGAAGAUGACGAGUGGCGGACGGGUGAGUAAUGCUUGGGAACUUGCCUUUGCGAGGGGGAUAACAGUUGGAAACGACUGCUAAUACCGCAUAAUGUCUACGGACCAAACGGGGCUUCGGCUCCGGCGCAAAGAGAGGCCCAAGUGAGAUUAGCUAGUUGGUAAGGUAACGGCUUACCAAGGCGACGAUCUCUAGCUGUUCUGAGAGGAAGAUCAGCCACACUGGGACUGAGACACGGCCCAGACUCCUACGGGAGGCAGCAGUGGGGAAUAUUGCACAAUGGGGGAAACCCUGAUGCAGCCAUGCCGCGUGUGUGAAGAAGGCCUUCGGGUUGUAAAGCACUUUCAGUUGUGAGGAAAAGUUAGUAGUUAAUACCUGCUAGCCGUGACGUUAACAACAGAAGAAGCACCGGCUAACUCCGUGCCAGCAGCCGCGGUAAUACGGAGGGUGCGAGCGUUAAUCGGAAUUACUGGGCGUAAAGCGCACGCAGGCGGUUUGUUAAGCUAGAUGUGAAAGCCCCGGGCUCAACCUGGGAUGGUCAUUUAGAACUGGCAGACUAGAGUCUUGGAGAGGGGAGUGGAAUUCCAGGUGUAGCGGUGAAAUGCGUAGAUAUCUGGAGGAACAUCAGUGGCGAAGGCGACUCCCUGGCCAAAGACUGACGCUCAUGUGCGAAAGUGUGGGUAGCGAACAGGAUUAGAUACCCUGGUAGUCCACACCGUAAACGCUGUCUACUAGCUGUGUGUGUCUUUAAGACGUGCGUAGCGAAGCUAACGCGCUAAGUAGACCGCCUGGGGAGUACGGCCGCAAGGUUAAAACUCAAAUGAAUUGACGG